GGGUCGGUGGUGUAAUGGCAGCACGCUCCAGCUUGUCUGGAGAGGCCCGAGUUCGAUUCUUGGCCUUCCUU